rnacentral:misc_RNA from 1 species
UUAUAUAUCAGUAUAAAAAUAUAUUCAUAAACUUAGGCAGUAAUUUGCCAUUACAUCACCAUAAUAAUAAACAAUAUGCAAGUAAAGCUGCGGGCUACAAUUUCCCCCCUAAAUUUGGUCCUUUUGUAGCCACUUCAGCCUCUAUUAGCUUUACCAACACCCAACUUAGAUAAAAAGAAAAAGUAGAUAAAAGAGUAACAAAGCAAUUCCCCAGAAAGUUGAUAGUAAUUCAAAAGAGAAAGAAACAAAUCCCCGCGACACUUUCCCAGAUAAAAAAAGAGAACCAUUGAAGGCGGGAAAUUGUAAGAAUUUUUCUUUUGUUUUGAUCAGGUCAGUGUAAUUAUUUGGUGAAAUUAAACGCGGAAAUUCUUUCCCUGGAAAGUUUGUCCAAAUUGCCAGUUAGCUGGUGCAAUGUUGUAGGAAGCAGAGCUGCGUCGAUCACUAGCAGUGACUCUAAAAGAAAGUGCUUGUCCGACUAGUUUUGCAUUUGUUUGCCAAUUCUGACCCCAAUUACGAGUCAUUGAAAUCCAUGGCGUGUUUGUGCCUUUAACAUAAACCUUUUGAAUGUCCCCUGCACCUGCAACGUUGGUGACUAACACUAAGUUAAAGUAUUGGAAACCGUUGACUGUGAAUCUGAUUCCUCCUUGUUUCCUGCAUGGAACCCUUCGGUAGUUGACAG